GUGACAUGAUGAAUUUGUUUAUCCAUUCGCUGAGCGGCAUCCAGUGGAGCCCAGUCUUUGUUCCUGUUCUGGGGACGGAGCCUCUGCACUUCAGGGCGUUUUUGGCGUUCUGCCGAAAAACACUUGAAUUGUAUGAGUUGAGGGCUCAACUGGCGGCUGCAGAGACGACCGGAACAUUCUGAUCAC